GAUGAACGCUGGCGGCGUGCCUAAUACAUGCAAGUAGAACGCUGAAGGAGGAGCUUGCUCUUCUGGAUGAGUUGCGAACGGGUGAGUAACGCGUAGGUAACCUGCCUGGUAGCGGGGGAUAACUAUUGGAAACGAUAGCUAAUACCGCAUGACAACAGUUAUUGCAUGAUAACUGUUUAAAAGGGGCAACUGCUCCACUACCAGAUGGACCUGCGUUGUAUUAGCUAGUUGGCGAGGUAACGGCUCACCAAGGCGACGAUACAUAGCCGACCUGAGAGGGUGAUCGGCCACACUGGGACUGAGACACGGCCCAGACUCCUACGGGAGGCAGCAGUAGGGAAUCUUCGGCAAUGGACGGAAGUCUGACCGAGCAACGCCGCGUGAGUGAAGAAGGUUUUCGGAUCGUAAAGCUCUGUUGUAAGAGAAGAACGAGUGUGAGAGUGGAAAGUUCACACUGUGACGGUAUCUUACCAGAAAGGGACGGCUAACUACGUG
rnacentral:rRNA from 1 species